rnacentral:lncRNA from 1 species
CUUAUCAUCUUUUCCUAAAACCCAUAUUUAUCUUCUGGCUUAAGAUGUCAUCACUGUUUUUCCACUCUUGGUAACAGUAUUCUCUAUGAGUAAAGCUCAAGUCUUCCCUUGACAUGCUGUAAAUCAUGGAGCUUGUAUUCAGGCACUAUCUUCUCCUGCUUACCACUGUAUAUAAAUAGGUCUUCAAUAAAAACCCCAUUUAGCAUCCACUCAAUUAUUAGCAUGGGGGAAAAAACUAAGAAAAUAUUUACUUGUGCUUUAGUUAAUUUCCAGUUUGUCAGUCAGUAAGUGAGAUGGCAAAAGCUCGAGAUAAUUGCAUUUUGGAAAAGAGUAAGGGAAAUUGAGGGCCUGUAGGGAAAUGCUUCAGGAGCGAGGGGGCUCCCCUGCCUUGUCCUGUUGGG